GGUAGGGUUAGGCUUAGGGUUAGGGUUAGACUUAGGGAUAGGGUUAGCAUUACGGUUAGGGUUAGGGUUUGGGUUAGGCAUAGGGUAAGUUUAGUGUAAGUGUUGGGUUAGGGAUAGGGAUAGCGAUAGUGUUAGGGUUAGGCUUAGGGUUAGGGUUAGUGUUAAGGUUAGGGUUUAAGUAAGUUUAGGGUUAGGGUUAGGCUUAGGGUUAGGGUUAGGCUUAGGGUUAGGGUUAGGGUUAGGGUUAGGGUCAGGUUUGGGGUAGGGUUAGGAUUAGCGUUAGGGUUAGGGUUAGGGUUAGGGUUAGGGUUAGGGAUAGGCAUAGGGUAAGUUUAGUGUAAGUGUAGGGUUAGGGAUAGGGAUAGCGAUAUUGAUAGGGUUAGGGUUAGGGUUACGUUUAGGGUUAGGGUUGGGGUUAGGGUAGGGUUAGGGUUAGGGUUACGGGAAGUAUUAGUGUUAGGGUAAGGGUUAGGGUUAGGGAAAUAGUUAGGUUUAGUGUUACGGUUGGGUUAGGGUUAGGGUUAGGGUUAGGGUUAGGGUUAGUGAUGGGGUUAGGUUUAGAGUUAUGGUUCGGGUUAGGGUUAGGCUUACG
ensembl:lncRNA